GCCCGGUUAGCUCAAUCGGUAGAGCGUGAGACUCUUACACAAAACGAUGAAACUCGCCCAGUUCAAGCUUCUCCCUCAACAGGUCGAGCCACGAAGACGGCAUUUCAAUCUCAAGGUUGCGGGUUCGACCCCCGCAUCGGGCU